GCCGAAAUAGCUCAGUUGGGAGAGCGUCAGACUGGAAGAUCUGAAGGUCCCUGGUCAAUCCUGGAUUUCGGCA
rnacentral:tRNA from 1 species